GGGGCUGUAGCCUAGUGGCUAGAGCGUCAGACUCGCAACUUGAGGGUCGGGGGUUCAAUUCCCGAUCCCA
rfam:Macrostomum lignano uti_cns_0003223, whole genome shotgun sequence.